CGGGGCAUGACGGGCACCUCGGCUGGCACGUACUCCACCCUCCGGGGCUCGGGGCCUGAGGAGCAGAAGGUGGCCCUGGGCAGAUGCUCUGCGUGCGGGAGGCUGCGCUUUCAGUCAUUAUUUGGAUUUCGUUUUCCACAUGAAAAUAUUUAGAGAUCCAGCUCUUGGAAGCCAAGGAGAAACUGGCUUUUAAGUACCAUGGCUACUGUGACGUAUCCUGACUAAUGCCGACAGCACAGGGAGCCUUUGCCUGCCGGAGGAAGCGGUGAGGAAGAGGUGGUGCGUCGUGCACUUCCUGUUGCUGUUUUAGGACAGCUUGGACGUAGUUUGUUCCAGGGAAGUGCUGCUGAACCAGGUAAACCCAGCCCCCCAUCUCCAGGAGCAGAGGCUGCAAGGACAGGAAGACAAUGAGGCAAUGGUGUGCUGGGGGAAUCGUGCUAAAGUGAAAGCAUCCUUCGAUCAUUUUUAAGUCAUUCUAGGAUCUUCAGGGCAUCAAAGUUUUGCCUGUGAGCCUCAAUUGGUCUAAUACAAAAAUACAGACUGUGG
rnacentral:lncRNA from 10 species